rnacentral:misc_RNA from 1 species
GAUGAAGAACGCAGCGAAAUGCGAUACUUGGUGUGAAUUGCAGAAUCCCGUGAACCAUCGAGUCUUUGAACGCAAGUUGCGCCCGAAGCCAUUAGGCCGAGGGCACGCCUGCCUGGGCGUCACACGUCGUUGCCCCCCCAUCUACUCCUUCGGGAUUGCGGGGGGCGGAUGAUGGCCUCCCGUGCGCCUCGUCGCGCGGUUGGCAUAAAUGCCAAGUCCUCGGCGACGCACGCCACGACAAUCGGUGGUUGCGAAACCUCGGUUGCCCGUCGUGUGCGGUCGUCGCGCAUCGAGGGCUCGAAAAAAUUGCCGGGCUCCGGCUCGGCUUUCAACGCGACCCCAGGUCAGGCGGGGUUACCCGCUGAAUUUAAGCAUAUCAACAAGCGGAGGA